rnacentral:tRNA from 1 species
UGGGAUAUAGCUCAGUGGUAGAGAACUUGCCUAGUAUGCAUUAGGUCCUGAGUUCAAUUCCCAGUACCAU